GCAUCGUCAUUAAUCAAACUUAGUUAAGGUUGGAUAUAGCUGAUUUUCCCUUUCCGGGAUGAUUGGUUCUAUAUUGUUGUCCCCAUGCUGGGAAGUUAUUAUGUUACUUUAUUUCCUUGUCGGGAUUUCUUGUAAUUUUGUGAUAACAUAAAAUAGGAGUGGGUGGUACGCCAACCACAAGAUAGGAUGAAAUGUGAUCGAGCAGUACCCC
rnacentral:lncRNA from 1 species